UGAGGAAUAUUGGUCAAUGGACGCAAGUCUGAACCAGCCAAGUCGCGUGCAGGAAUAAGGCCCUAUGGGUCGCAGACUGCUUUUGCAUGAGAAUAAAAAGUGGGACGAGUCCCACCCUGUAGGUAUCAUGCGAAUAAGGAUCGGCUAACUCCGUGCCAGCAGCCGCGGUAAUACGGAGGAUCCGAGCGUUAUCCGGAUUCAUUGGGUUUAAAGGUGCGCAGGCGGGUCUGUAAGCCCGUGGUGAAAGCCUGGUGCUCAACGCCAGAGGUGCCGCGGGAACUGCAGGUCUUGAAUGCGGUCGAGGCCGGCGGAAUGUGGCGUGUAGCGGUGAAAUGCAUAGAUAUGCCACAGAACACCGAUAGCGAAGGCAGCUGGCCGGGCCUGCAUUGACGCUGAGGCACGAAAGCGUGGGGAUC
rnacentral:rRNA from 1 species